rnacentral:rRNA from 1 species
UACGUAGGGUGCGAGCGUUAAUCGGAAUUACUGGGCGUAAAGCGUGCGCAGGCGGCUUUGUAAGACAGGCGUGAAAUCCCCGGGCUCAACCUGGGAACGGCGCUUGUGACUGCAAGGCUAGAGUACGGCAGAGGGGGGUGGAAGUUCCACGUGUAGCAGUGAAAUGCGUAGAGAUGUGGAGGAACACCGAUGGCGAAGGCAGCCCCCUGGGCCGAUACUGACGCUCAUGCACGAAAGCGUGGGGAGCAAACAGG